UUUAUGGAGAGUUUGAUCCUGGCUCAGGAUGAACGCUGGCGGCGUGCCUAAUACAUGCAAGUCGAGCGAACGGACGAGAAGCUUGCUUCUCUGAUGUUAGCGGCGGACGGGUGAGUAACACGUGGAUAACCUACCUAUAAGACUGGGAUAACUUCGGGAAACCGGAGCUAAUACCGGAUAAUAUUUUGAACCGCAUGGUUCAAAAGUGAAAGACGGUCUUGCUGUCACUUAUAGAUGGAUCCGCGCUGCAUUAGCUAGUUGGUAAGGUAACGGCUUACCAAGGCAACGAUGCAUAGCCGACCUGAGAGGGUGAUCGGCCACACUGGAACUGAGACACGGUCCAGACUCCUACGGGAGGCAGCAGUAGGGAAUCUUCCGCAAUGGGCGAAAGCCUGACGGAGCAACGCCGCGUGAGUGAUGAAGGUCUUCGGAUCGUAAAACUCUGUUAUUAGGGAAGAACAUAUGUGUAAGUAACUGUGCACAUCUUGACGGUACCUAAUCAGAAAGCCACGGCUAACUACGUGCCAGCAGCCGCGGUAAUACGUAGGUGGCAAGCGUUAUCCGGAAUUAUUGGGCGUAAAGCGCGCGUAGGCGGUUUUUUAAGUCUGAUGUGAAAGCCCACGGCUCAACCGUGGAGGGUCAUUGGAAACUGGAAAACUUGAGUGCAGAAGAGGAAAGUGGAAUUCCAUGUGUAGCGGUGAAAUGCGCAGAGAUAUGGAGGAACACCAGUGGCGAAGGCGACUUUCUGGUCUGUAACUGACGCUGAUGUGCGAAAGCGUGGGGAUCAAACAGGAUUAGAUACCCUGGUAGUCCACGCCGUAAACGAUGAGUGCUAAGUGUUAGGGGGUUUCCGCCCCUUAGUGCUGCAGCUAACGCAUUAAGCACUCCGCCUGGGGAGUACGACCGCAAGGUUGAAACUCAAAGGAAUUGACGGGGACCCGCACAAGCGGUGGAGCAUGUGGUUUAAUUCGAAGCAACGCGAAGAACCUUACCAAAUCUUGACAUCCUUUGACAACUCUAGAGAUAGAGCCUUCCCCUUCGGGGGACAAAGUGACAGGUGGUGCAUGGUUGUCGUCAGCUCGUGUCGUGAGAUGUUGGGUUAAGUCCCGCAACGAGCGCAACCCUUAAGCUUAGUUGCCAUCAUUAAGUUGGGCACUCUAAGUUGACUGCCGGUGACAAACCGGAGGAAGGUGGGGAUGACGUCAAAUCAUCAUGCCCCUUAUGAUUUGGGCUACACACGUGCUACAAUGGACAAUACAAAGGGUAGCGAAACCGCG
rnacentral:rRNA from 1 species